rnacentral:sRNA from 1 species
UUUGUGUUUCAUAUAAGUAUUGAUAUAGACAUAUAAAUUAGUAUAUGUAAAUUUGUUUACUUUUUAAGAUUUUCUAUUUUUUUUAGACAAUAAAAAAGUUAAAUUUUGAAUGACACAUGUAAACAUCUGAUCGUUUAACUUGACACGUGGCACAAUCUUAUGAGUUAGCAACUUUGAAAACCAUACUUUAUAUAAUAAGAUAUAGACAAGAGGUUAGUUUAUGUUGGAAAAACCGAGUUUACAAAUAUAAAUAAAGGAUUAUUGUUGAUUUUACAUUUUUCAUCAAAAAAAAAUUAAAUUGCCAUUUUUACUAAAUUUUGAUGUAUUUG